AUUGAACGCUGGCGGCAGGCCUAACACAUGCAAGUCGAGCGGGGUUUUCGGACCUAGCGGCGGACGGGUGAGUAAUGCGUAGGAAGCUACCUGCUAGAGGGGGAUACCAGUUGGAAACGACUGUUAAUACCGCAUAAUGUCUACGGACCAAAGUGUGGGACCUUCGGGCCACAUGCUAUCGGAUGCGCAUACGGGGGAUUAGCUAGUUGGUGGGGUAAUGGCUCACCAAGGCGACGAUCCCUAGCUGGUUUGAGAGGAUGAUCAGCCACACUGGAACUGAGACACGGUCCAGACUCCUACGGGAGGCAGCAGUGGGGAAUAUUGGACAAUGGGCGCAAGCCUGAUCCAGCCAUGCCGCGUGUGUGAAGAAGGCCUUCGGGUUGUAAAGCACUUUCAGUAGGGAGGAAGGGUGUUGUGUUAAUAGCACAGCAUUUUGACGUUACCUACAGAAGAAGCACCGGCUAACUCUGUGCCAGCCGCCGCCGUAAAAC
rnacentral:rRNA from 1 species